rnacentral:rRNA from 1 species
GGUGACUAUAGCAUCAGGGUUCCACCUCUUCCCAUUCCGAACAGAGAAGUUAAGCCUGAUCACGCCGAUGGUACUGCGUAACAGUGGGAGAGU